GCCUUUCUUACCCACAAGUGAUGGUGAUAGAGGUACAGGGAGCAGAACAUGGGAAUGAUCUAGAAAACUCAGGAGGAGCUGAAACUCAGUUCAGCUUGCUACUGAUGGUGCUGAGGCAGCAAUACCAUCAGUCUGCCGGAGACUGAGAUUUUCCCCCAAGGAAAACCUCUCUGAUGUAGGUUCCAGGGGUCAGCUGUCAGGGUCACCAGAGUCCAACCAUCCACUCUCCUAGGACCCUGUCACCCUCAGAGUCCUGCAAGCAUCGGCUGUUUGACCUCAGCGAAUCCACUCUACUCUCUGGGCUUUGGCCUUGAUCAACGGAGCAGCCCAACAGGGUGAGCUCUCUGGAGCCCCUUCCAUCUGUAAUCCCUGCUAGCGGUGUGGAGAGGCAGUCCACCCCAAGUGUGCAGACAGACAGCUCACCCCAUAUCACCUGCAAGAUUGAGAAGAAGUCAUGCAAGGUCAAGACUGGCCUGCGCCCUGAGAAACGUGACCCCACUUGGAGGCCAGGGCUGAUUCAGGGGGCCACAGACUUCAGAGAGCAGUGCCCACCCCCUGUCUUUUACAUGUGGCCAGAGACGGGAGGAAGUUGCCCACAGUCACACAGGAGGUUCAAGAAGCUGGGGUUGGCACCAAGUCUUAGGAGUGGGAGGCAGGCAGGAGGCACAGAGCUGUCUCCUGGGGAUAUGCCUGCUCUCAGACAUGAUGUCACAGAAUUAUGGGCAUGAAAGUGGGGCCUUCGCGUACCAGCAGUGGGCGGGGCCGUUGUCCUGUGGAGUGACUGUUUGAAUCACCCCUUCUUGGGCCUGGAUUUCCCUUUUGUAAAAUACAGGUAGUGUAAUCCUUGGCAGGGUCCUAAUUGGGUCUUGGGAGGUUUGAAUGAAGUAGGAAGAACCACACGGCUGGGAGAACCAAAAGGUUGUGUGCUCCCACGGCCCGGUUAGAUCCUCAUCCACAGCAGGGUGAGUCGGGCCAGAAGGGGUGCCCCAUCUUACAGAAGCACACACAUGGCCCUGAGGCUGCACUGAUGGUGCGGUGGUCUCGCUAGAGCCAACCCUGGUCUCCUGGG
rnacentral:lncRNA from 1 species